rnacentral:ncRNA from 1 species
AUAAAAAUUUAUUAUGUUUUACAUAUUAUUUCUGAAGUCUAAAUGAUUAUAUUUGUAGUAAUUAGUUUUGUUUUUUAAGUUAAUUUAGAAACAGUAAAUUUUAUAUUUCUAGUAAAUUUCGUGCCAGCAUCUGCGGUUAUACGAUUGGAAUGAAAGAUUAUUUUUAGUUUAUAGUAAAUGAAUAUAUUUUAAAAAAGAAUAUUUUUAGGUGAAAUUUAUAAUUUUUAUGUUUAAAAAACUUGUUGAUGCUAUUAAAUUUAAAUUUUAAACAAGGAUUAGAUACCCUUUUAUUUUAAAUGUUAAAAUAAUAACUUGGGUAGUAUUUGUUAUAUUCUUGAAACCCAAAGGAUUUGGCGGUAUUUUAGUCUUUUCAGAGGAAUCUGUCCCUUAAUCGAUAACCCACGAUUAUAAUUACUUAAUUUUGUUAGUUUUUAUACCUCCGUCAUAAGAAUAUCUUUUUAGAGGUAAUUUUCUUAAUAGUAAGAAGUUAUUAUGUCAGGUCAAGGUGAAGCUUAUAGUUAAGUGGAGAUGGAUUACAAUAAAAUAUAUUUAUAUGGAUAUAAAGUGUUAUAUUUUUUUGAAAGUGGAUUUGAUUGUAAAAUUUUUUAUUAAAAUUUUUGAUUUUAGCUCUAAAAUAUGCACAUAUCGCCCGUCGCUCUCGUGUUUAAAUUGAGAUAAGUCGUAACAUAGUAGAUGUAUCGGAAGAUGUAUCUAGAAAGAU